rnacentral:rRNA from 1 species
GAUGAACGCUAGCGGCGGGCCUAACACAUGCAAGUCGAGGGGCAGCACAGGUAGCAAUACUGGGUGGCGACCGGCGGAUGGGUGCGUAACGCGUAUGCAACCUACCAUUGAUUGGGGCAUAGCCCGAAGAAAUUCGGAUUAAUACUCCAUAAUAUUCAUUAAAGGCAUCUUUUAUGAAUUAAAGCUUUUGCGAUCAAUGAUGGGCAUGCGUGACAUUAGUUAGUUGGUGAGGUAACGGCUCACCAAAACGAUGAUGUCUAGGGGUUCUGAGAGGAUUAUCCCCCACACUGGUACUGAGACACGGACCAGACUCCUACGGGAGGCAGCAGUGAGGAAUAUUGGUCAAUGGACGCAAGUCUGAACCAGCCAUGCCGCGUGCAGGAUGACGGCCCUAUGGGUUGUAAACUGCUUUUCCACGGGAAGAACCCUCCGACGUGUCGGAGACUGACGGUACCGUGGGAAUAAGCAUCGGCUAACUCCGUGCCAGCACG